rnacentral:misc_RNA from 1 species
AAUAAUUAAUUUAAUUCAGACAAUUGGAAAUUAAACAUAUAUUUGUUAUAUAAUAUAAAUUCAAGCUAUCGUUGUGUUGAAAGGCUUUACUAAUGUCUAAGUAAUAUAUAGGUCAUCCAAAUAUAUCGUUGGCAGUGCAUAAUCGUUAUAAAAAUGGCGUUUGGAGGAAGUUUAAAUACUGACGUACUGCAUGAUGAAACGUUUGAUUUACUAUGUACUAUGUGUGAGCAAAAAGGUAGAAAUAGAGAAGCAGAAAAAUAAUGCGAGGAAUGUGGGGAUUAUUAUUGUUUGACCUGUGUGAAAGUUCAUGCCGAGGUUCCAUCACUUAAACGACACAAAAUACUUGACAAAGGAAAGUUUCCACCAAGAUCAAUCAAGGCACGGUCACGUUCCGGCAAGACUCAACCUAUGGCACCGACAGAAAGAUGUGACAGACACAGUCACCACUAUAUAGACAUGUACUGUCAGAAUCAUGACGAUGUUGGGUGCGGUACCUGUAUGGCGGUAGAUCACAGGUACUAUGGUUUUGAUACAUGGUGAAGUUGUACACAAAAGUGAGAAGAAUCUAUUACAGAAUUCUCGCCACAUCUACACGUUUCAUUUGUUUGAUCAACAUGAAACAGAAUAUAGCAAAGAACACUGGUUACAGCCAACAGAAGAAAUGCCUUUUCCACAUUUGUAUACCUGAGGGAUGUGAGAUUUCUGUGAAUGAGGGUUGUGUUUAUCAGACAUCUAUUGUAAACAGUGCAACAAUGUAACCAGAUAUAUGAGAAAUGUAGCGGCACGCAGUACUAAAGGAUACGCUUUACCAAGUAUGAACAGACAGACUGAUAGAUGAGAAUUUCCUCUUUGUUGGUUGUGAUUUUAUUUACUAGGAAGAAUACUGGCAUCUGGAAAAGUAUCUGGUAAUAGUGUAAAAGCACAUAUUUUUGCUGAUUCAAAAUUUUGCGAAAUUGAAAUUUUGAGCAUGAUCGCGAGGAUUAAUAUUGGCCAAAAUUUAAAAAAAGUAUUCUUCUUGAAUAAGAAUUAUACCAAUGAUGAAUAUUUGUGCGAGGAAUAAUUUUCACGAGUUGUAGGGCCUCGCAGAUAUUGCGGAAAUUUAACUCUAAGGAAAAUUUCUGCUUUUACAGUAGUGUUUCAUAUUAUCACUUGAUCAACCUUAUAUUAUUUUACAUGUGUAGAGCAACAGUACUUGGAAACGUCUGUUUGUUGGAUAGAUGUUCUUACUUUGGAAAACAUCCUUUUCAUUCAUGCCGUUGAAUUGUUUAGUGUUAUUAUUAAUGAUUCAUUCAUUUCUUUUAUUUUGAAGUUUUGUUAAAUGUUCAUUUUGAUUGACACAAUGUAUAUUUAUAUUGAUGCAGCUUACAGAUAUAUUUUAUAUGAACAGAGACUGAAUUGUUAUUGGUUUUAAGAUAUCAUUUUAAACAGGUGUACAGGGAGUGGGGGUUGUUUAUUUGUAGAACAAACAUAUUUUACAAGGUUUUGCCAAAGGUUAUAAAGCAGUGUCCGGAAAUCGGGUAUAAACAUCAGUAUCUGACUUAUUGUAUUGGAACAGACUUCAAAAAUUGCCCAGUGGUAUUAUCUAGUCUGGACUCCAAAGUCUCGUUUCUAACAUUACUGACCAUCCUAGUUGCUUUGUUUCUACUUCAGGAACUAACUCAGGUAUAGCUAUAGUGUUCAGUGUACUUGUACCUAUUAUUGCAAAGAGCAUACAAAAACAGUUAAAAUUGUAGUCAUUUUGGAUCGAAACAGCAAGUUUUGUAUAAUAUUUCAUUUGCAUGUACGUGAGAAUAAACUUUAUUUUAAUC